AAGGAAUGUUUUCUGUUUGAGUUCUGAGUAUUGAAUCCAAUGGAAGCGUCGCCCUCUCCCCAGCCUUGAGCUGUGGGAGAGGCUUCUAAAACCAUCUCAGAAAAUCAAACUGGACAUGGAUCCAAACAGUCAUAUGCAUCGGUUUUUGCUGGACAGCAAACUGCCGAGACAAAAUCAAAGCUAGAGCUCUGUCCAGUUUCGUUCAAGCAAGGAUUGCCGAUAGUUGAGUUCACAG
rnacentral:lncRNA from 1 species